rnacentral:rRNA from 1 species
AUUCUGGCCUGACGUGGACGCUAGUCUCACAGAUUUAGCCAUGCAUGUGUAAGCGAAGCUAUAUGUGGAGCGGUGAAAGGCUCAGUAACGGGCGAUUUAUUUAAUCUCCUGGGACGGACAACAUCGGGAAACUGAUGGGAAAACGUCUAAGUUGCAUUAAUAUUAGUUAGUGUGACGUAAACGGUAAUCGUGCAGGAGAGUAAGAUGCCAUCCUAUCAGUUAGUAAGUAGGGUAAGGGCCUACUUAGACGAAGACGGGUACGGGGAAUGAGGGUUUGAUUCCGGAGAGGGAGCCUGAGAGAUGGCUACCAGGACCAAGGUCAGCAGCAGGCGCGAAAAUUAUCGAAGCCCGCCUAGGGGCGAUAGUGAGGAGACGUGUAUAACGAAGUACGUGUAAAGAACGUACUAAUAACUGGAGGUCAAGUCUGGUGCCAGCAUCCGCGGUAAUUCCAGCUCCAGGGGUGUCUAUGAUGAUUGCUGCGAUUAAAAAGUCCGUAGUCAAACUGACUGACUGACCUGCAAUGUGAUUGAUUAAAGAACGAGCAGGGUUAGGAAAGCAGAGAAUUAGGAGCGACCGAGGGCUAGAGUAUUGAAUGGCGAGAGGUGAAAUUUGAUGACCCAUUCAGGAGUGACAAAGGCGAAGGCACUAGUCAAGGGCGAAUCCGAUGAUCAAGGACGUAGGCUAGAGUUUCGAAAACGAUUAGAGACCGGAGUAGUUCUAGCAGUAAACUAUGCCGACGCCGUGAUAUUGUUUUUUGUGGCAGUAUUGCGGAAGAGAAAUCAAGUAAGGCUUUGGGGAGAGUACGCGCGCAAGCGAUAAAUUUAAAGGAAAUUGACGGAGGAACACCACAAGGAGUGGAGUGUGCGGCUUAAUUUGACUCAACGCGGGACAGCUUACCAGGCCCGAUAAUCGAGCGAGCGUAGUACGCGAUAGAUUAAAGAGUGGUGCAUGGCUGCUAUCGACAGUUGGGGUGACCUUAGGGUUAAUUCCGGCAAGUAGUGAGACCCCUGCAGAUAGUGGACAGGUAUUUUUAAAAUACAGGAAGGAAGGGACAAGAGCAGGUCAGUGAUGCCCUUAGAUGGCCUGGGCUGCACGCGCACUACAGUGGUCAUUAUAAGUAGAAAUUAGAAGUAAAAAUGAUCGAGAGGGACUGAGCUUUGUAAGAGGCUCACGAACGAGGAAUUGCUAGUAAUCGUAGGCUCAUUAAGAUACGAUGAAUAUGUCCCUGUACCUUGUACACACCGCCCGUCGUUAUCGAAGAUGGAAUUGUGUGCGAACGAGCAACAAGCGAGUGAGCGCAUAGUUCUAGAUGUGAUAAAAGUCGUAACAAGGCAACUGUAGGAGAACCUGUAGUUGGAUCA